UACGGGGGGAGCAAGCGUUGUUCGGAUUUACUGGGCGUAAAGGGCGCGUAGGCGGUAGCACAAGUCAGUUGUGAAAUCUCCGGGCUUAACUCGGAAAGGUCAACUGAUACUGUGCGACUAGAGUGCGGAAGGGGCAACUGGAAUUCUCGGUGUAGCGGUGAAAUGCGUAGAUAUCGGGAGGAACACCUGAGGCGAAGGCGGGCUACUGGGCCGAUACUGACGCUGAUGUGCGAAAGCCAGGGGAGCGAACGGG
rnacentral:rRNA from 1 species